CACAUCCGCUGGGUGCGUACACGGGUCAUUCCCGAUGUACUGAGAAAGAACCUUUGAACCUGUUAGGGUAAUACCUGCGUAGGGAAGCGGUGCGAAAAUUUG
rnacentral:ncRNA from 2 species